AACAAGUACUGGAAGCUGCUCUUC
rnacentral:piRNA from 1 species